rnacentral:rRNA from 1 species
GACGAACGCUGGCGGCGUGCUUAGCACAUGCAAGUCGAACGGACAGACAGAGAGCUUGCUCUCUUGAAGUUAGUGGCGAACGGGUGAGUAACGCGUAAUCAACCUGCCCUUCAGAAGGGGAUAACAACGGGAAACCGUUGCUAAUACCGCGUACGAUUCAUGAACGGCAUCGUUUAUGAAUGAAAGGUGGCCUCUAUGUAUAAGCUAUCGCUGAAGGAGGGGAUUGCGUCUGAUUAGCUAGUUGGAGGGGUAACGGCCCACCAAGGCAAUGAUCAGUAGGCGGUAUGAGAGGAUGAACGGCCACAUUGGGACGGAGACACGGCCCAAACUCCUACGGGAGGCAGCAGUGGGGAAUCUUCCGCAAUGGACGAAAGUCUGACGGAGCAACGCCGCGUGAGUGAUGAAGGUCUUCGGAUUGUAAAGCUCUGUUAAUCGGGACGAAAGAGUUCUGCGUGAAUAAUGCAGAAAAGUGACGGUACCGGAAUAGAAAGCCACGGCUAACUUCGUGCCAGCAGCCGCAGUAA